rfam:Bacteria symbiont BFo2 of Frankliniella occidentalis strain BFo2 contig107, whole genome shotgun sequence.
UAAGUGUAUUCUUCAUUUGAGUAUCCUGAAAACGGGCUUUUCAGCAUGAGAAUACAGUUAAUUAGUAAUAGGAGUGCAUAGUGGCCCGUAUAGCAGGCAUUAACAUUCCUGAU